AUGGACCUCCUGCACAAGAACAUGAAACACCUGUGGUUCUUCCUCCUCCUGGUGGCAGCUCCCAGAUGGAUCCUGUCCCAGGUGCAGCUGCAGGAGUCGGGCCCAGGACUGGUGAAGCCUUCGGAGACCCUGUCCCUCACCUGCGCUGUCUCUGGUGACUCCAUCAGCAGUGGUAACUGGUGGAUCUGGGUCCGCCAGCCCCCAGGGAAGGGGCUGGAGUGGAUUGGGGAAAUCAAUCAUAGUGGGAGCACCUACUACAACCCGUCCCUCAAGAGUCGAAUCACCAUGUCAGUAGACACGUCCAAGAACCAGUUCUCCCUGAAGCUGAGCUCUGUGACCGCCGCGGACACGGCCGUGUAUUACUGUGCGAGAAGGGGUACCAGCUGGAUGGAGACUGGUCACUGCCCAUCUUCUGCUGUCUCCUUAGAUGCAGGUUUUAGUGGAUUUCCCCUGGAGACAGUGGAGGUGGAUCCAGGCGUUCAACAGUCCUCGCUGUUCUUCGCUUCCUGUCAGCACCACAGGACAGCAGAUAAGGGAGUUGACUGUAGAUUUUUCAAAUUCCUGGGAAAAGCCUGCAAGGACUAG